GAUGAACGCUGGCGGCGUGCUUAACACAUGCAAGUCGAACGGACUUGUUAUGAAGCCUAGCGAAUAACAAGUUAGUGGCGGACGGGUGAGUAACGCGUGGGUAACCUGCCUUAUACAGGGGGAUAACACUUAGAAAUAGGUGCUAAUACCGCAUAAGCGCACAGUUUCGCAUGAAACAGUGUGAAAAACUCCGGUGGUAUAAGAUGGACCCGCGUCUGAUUAGCUGGUUGGUGAGGUAACGGCCCACCAAGGCGACGAUCAGUAGCCGGCCUGAGAGGGUGAACGGCCACAUUGGGACUGAGACACGGCCCAA
rnacentral:rRNA from 1 species